CACGUAGGGCGCAAGCGUUGUCCGGAAUUAUUGGGCGUAAAGGGCUCGUAGGCGGUCUGUCGCGUCGGGAGUGAAAACUUACAGCUUAACUGUGAGCGUGCUUUCGAUACGGGCAGACUUGAGGCAUUCAGGGGAGAACGGAAUUCCUGGUGUAGCGGUGAAAUGCGCAGAUAUCAGGAGGAACACCGGUGGCGAAGGCGGUUCUCUGGGAAUGUCCUGACGCUGAGGAGCGAAAGUGUGGGGAGCGAACAGG
rnacentral:rRNA from 1 species